UACGUAGGGUGCAAGCGUUGUCCGGAAUUAUUGGGCGUAAAGAGCUCGUAGGCGGUCUGUCACGUCGGCUGUGAAAACCUGGGGCUCAACUCCGGGCCUGCAGCCGAUACGGGCAGACUAGAGUUCGGCAGGGGAGACUGGAAUUCCUGGCGUAGCGGUGAAAUGCGCAGAUAUCAGGAGGAACACCGUGGCGAAGGCGGGCU
rnacentral:rRNA from 1 species